rnacentral:rRNA from 1 species
CAGCCGCCGCGGUAAUACCGGCGGCCCGAGUGGCGGUCACUAUUAUUGGGCUUAAAGCGUCCGUAGCCGGGUUGGGAAGUCCUCCGGGAAAUCUGGCCGCUUAACGGUCAGAAUGCCGGAGGAUACUCCCAGCCUAGGGAGCGGGAGAGGCCGAGGGGAUUCCCGGGGUAGGGGUGGAAUCCUAUAAUCCCGGGAGGACCACCUGUGGCGAAGGCGCUCGGCUGGAACGCGUCCGACGGUGAGGGACGAAGGCCAGGGGAGCAAACCGGAUUAGAUACCCGGGUAGUCCUGGCUGUAAACGAUGCGGACUUUGUGUCGGACAAGCUAUGAGCUUGUCCGGUGCCGGAGGGAAACCGUUAAGUCCGCCGCCUGGGAAGUACGGCCGCAAGGCUGAAACUUAAAGGAAUUGGCGGG